GACAGAGGCCUCAAGCGUUAGGCGGAAUCACUGGGCGUAAAGGGUGCGUAGGCGGGUCUUUAAGUCAGGGGUGAAAUCCUGGAGCUCAACUCCAGAACUGCCUUUGAUACUGAGGAUCUUGAGUUCGGGAGAGGUGAGUGGAACUGCGAGUGUAGAGGUGAAAUUCGUAGAUAUUCGCAAGAACACCAGUGGCGAAGGCGGCUCACUGGCCCGAUACUGACGCUGAGGCACGAAAGCGUGGGGAGCAAACAGG
rnacentral:rRNA from 1 species